rnacentral:rRNA from 1 species
AACGCGAAGAACCUUACCAACCCUUGACAUGGAUAUCGUAGUUCCGAGAGAUCGGUUCGUCAGUUCGGCUGGAUAUCACACAGGUGCUGCAUGGCUGUCGUCAGCUCGUGUCGUGAGAUGUUCGGUUAAGUCCGGCAACGAGCGCAACCCACGUCCUUAGUUGCCAGCAUUCAGUUGGGCACUCUAGGGAAACUGCCGAUGAUAAGUCGGAGGAAGGUGUGGAUGACGUCAAGUCCUCAUGGCCCUUACGGGUUGGGCUACACACGUGCUACAAUGGUAGUGACAAUGGGAUAAUCCCCAAAAGCUAUCUCAGUUCGGAUUGGGGUCUGCAACUCGACCCCAUGAAGUCGGAAUCGCUAGUAAUCGCGUAACAGCAUGACGCGGUGAAUACGUUCCCGGGUCUUGUACACACCG